rnacentral:rRNA from 1 species
UCCGUAGGUGAACCUGCGGAAGGAUCAUUAAAGAAUUGCCCCGUCCUCUCGAGGAUGGGUCCUCUUCUAAACCGUGUAUACAUACCUUUGUUGCUUUGGCGGGCCGCCGUCUCGGCGUUGGCUUCGGCUGACUGUGCCCGCCAGAGGACCCCAACUCUUCUGUUUAGUAUUGUCUGAGUACUAUAUAAUAGUUAAAACUUUCAACAACGGAUCUCUUGGUUCUGGCAUCGAUGAAGAACGCAGCGAAAUGCGAUAAGUAAUGUGAAUUGCAGAAUUCAGUGAAUCAUCGAAUCUUUGAACGCACAUUGCGCCCCUUGGUAUUCCGAGGGGCAUGCCUGUUCGAGCGUCAUUAUAACCACUCAAGCCUCGGCUUGGUAUUGGGGUUUCGCGGUCUCGCGGCCCUUAAAACCAGUGGCGGUGCCAUCUGGCUCUAAGCGUAGUAAUUCUCUCGCUACAGGGUCCAGGUGGUUACUUGCCAAAACCCCCUAUUUUCUAUGGUUGACCUCGGAUCAGGUAGGGAUACCCGCUGAACUUAAGCAUAUCAAUAAGCGGAGGA